AAGACAAAGGUUUCUCUGUGUAGCCCUGUCUAUUCAGGAACUAAUUCUGUAAACCAGGCUGGCUUUAAACUCAGAGAUUCUCUGCUCCUGCCUCUCAAGGGCCAGAAUGAAAGGUAUAGACCGCCACAUCUGGCUUAUGCAGUUCUUUAGUAGUCUCCUGCUCUGGUGUUUUAUUGCAGUCUGUUGCUAUUUGCUUGAUAAAUUUUAUCUUAGGUGAAUAUGUAGAGAAAGCCACAGUCUGUACAGGUCUGAGUCACAAGCAGUUUCAGACAUCUACAGACUAUCUUAGAACUAACUUAUCCCUGUGAAUGAAGGGAGACCAGUGUAUAUAGAGUCCUGGAGAAUAAAGAUAAAAUGCCUCUUAAUUCCUGAAUCGAGUUGGGAAAGUCAGAAUGUUACCUAGCUGCAAGUUUUCAACAGCUUCUUGAAUAUAUUCAUUUACAAAAAGCCACUUACUUUGCAUUUACUGCCCCUGAGGCACUGCCUAACGAAGCUUAUAAAUAUUCAUUUUUUUUUUUUUUUUUUUGGAUCCUCAAAGAAACCCUAUGAGUAGGUUCAGUCCAGCUCAGAUCACAAAGCCAGUGAACCCUGGUCUGUAAUCAGAGCAGCUGCUUUUGUUCAGUAGUGUUUCACCUAACAGUGUGUGUGUGUGUGUGUGUGUGUGUGUGUGUAUGUGUGUAUGUGUGUGUGUGUCAGUGUGUUCUCUAGAGCCUGUUGAAGGUACAGGUGAGAAUCAGGGUCACUGCGUCGUCUGUAGUGGUGAUAUUUGCAGAAUCCAAAGGUCUAAAUAAGUAAAAGGUGAGAUGGACAAUCUGUCUAGCAUGUCUUUUUCAAAAAUUUUGUAUCUAAUCCACUAGCUCAGCUGUAGUUCAUGGCUAAUUUUACUUAGUGUGCUUUAAUUUGGCAUUUUGCUGUGCCCCACAUGUGAGUUCUCCAUUCCUCCCAGCUUAAGUGACCCCAGCUUUCUAUCCAGUUCUACAUGGCUUUGGCAGCCUGCUCAUAUCCAGUCCAACCUGUCAAUCAGUCCCAAAGAUGAAUAACCUUAGUGUUUACUGUGAAGAGAUGUGGAUGGACAGCAAAUCCACCUUUUCCUUUGCUCAUGCAUCCUAACAUGUUAAGUUAAUAUGCAUUUAGAAGUCUAGACUAAGGGGCUGGAGAGAUGGUUCAGUGGUUCAGAGCACUGGCUAUUCUUCCAGAGAUCCUGAGUUCAAUUUCCAGCAAUGACAUGGUAGCUCACAUCCAUCUGUUAGGGGUUCUGAUGCCUUCUUCUGUUGUGUCUGGAGACAGCUACAGUAUACUCACAUAAAUAAUCCAGACUCUUGCUUUCUACUCAUUUUCCAUAACUCAGAGAGACAAAAAGAAUGAUCAAGUAUUUCCUCCUCUACAAAGCUCUAUCUUACAGCUAUUGACCAAAUGGUGCAUAAAAUUAUAUUGUUUCUAAAUAGUCUGGCAUCUUCCUCAUCUUGUGAUUUCCACUCUUUCUUCUGUCAUUCACUUGUGGAUCCCUCUGCAUCCAGAGUAGUGCUGAAGCAAGAAAAAAUUUCCCUAGGGUUAGAGAUCUUUGCUGCAGGAAACGAUGCCUUUAGAAGGUGUUUGAAAGACGCAAAAAUAAGCACCCAAAUGUUGUUUCGAUUCCAGGAAAUGUUUAGAACCUGCCUAGCAUAUGCUAUUCAGUGCUGGAAAGAGCAAGACAGCUUUGAGAGCAGCUUC
rnacentral:lncRNA from 1 species